CCUACGGGUGGCAGCAGUGGGGGAUAUUGCACAAUGGGGGGAACCCUGAUGCAGCGACGCCGCGUGUGGGAAGACGGUCCUCUGGAUUGUAAACCACUGUCCCCAGGGACGAAAAUGACGGUACCUGGGGAGGAAGCUCCGGCUAGCUACGUGCCAGCAGCCGCGGUAAUACGUAGGGAGCGAGCGUUGUCCGGAAUUACUGGGUGAAAGGGGAGCGUAGGCGGGGAUGCAAGUUGGGGGUCAAAACUCCCGGCUCAACUGGUAGUCGCACUCAAAACUGCAGCUCUUGAGUGAAGUAGAGGCAGGCGGAAUUCCUAGUGGAGCGGUGAAAUGCGUAGAUAUUAGGAGGAACACCAGUGGCGAAGGCGGCCUGCUGGGCUUUUACUGACGCUGAGGCUCGAAAGUGUGGGGAGCAAACAGGAUUAGAUACCCCUGUAGUC
rnacentral:rRNA from 1 species